rnacentral:rRNA from 1 species
UUGAACGCUGGCGGCAUGCCUUACACAUGCAAGUCGAACGGCAGCACGGGAGCAAUCCUGGUGGCGAGUGGCGAACGGGUGAGUAAUAUAUCGGAACGUGCCCAGUCGUGGGGGAUAACGCAGCGAAAGCUGUGCUAAUACCGCAUACGAUCUCUGGAUGAAAGCGGGGGACCUGCAAGGGCCUCGCGCGAUUGGAGCGGCCGAUAUCAGAUUAGCUAGUUGGUGGGGUAAAAGCUCACCAAGGCGACGAUCUGUAGCUGGUCUGAGAGGACGACCAGCCACACUGGAACUGAGACACGGUCCAGACUCCUACGGGAGGCAGCAGUGGGGAAUUUUGGACAAUGGGCGCAAGCCUGAUCCAGCAAUGCCGCGUGCAGGAUGAAGGCCUUCGGGUUGUAAACUGCUUUUAUAUGUCAAGAAAAUGACGGUAGCAUAUGAAUAAGCACCGGCUAACUCCGU